AUGGCUCCCGGGGCUCCCCGCUCCGUUCCCCCAGCCCGGGGCUGCCGGGGGGGACAGGGAGGGGACAGUGGGGUGCAAGUGGGGAGGAGGAUCCUGGAGCUGCACAGAGCAGGGUGUAGGGGAAGCCGCUGGUUUGCAGCAUCACUGCCAGCAGGGCGGGGGGGGGCUGAGCACUGCGGUGCCGGGUGCCCCAGGGGACUGCGCACGUGGCUCUGCGUGCUGCUGGGGGGUGAGGGGAAGCCCCAGCGUGGGGCCAAGGGGCCACACAGCUCCAAAGCACGCAGACAGCCCAGGCAGGAUGGUGUGCACCCAGCCUGCUGCCUCUCAGGGGGGCACAGCCUCAGUCCUGGAUCCACAUCUCGCAUCCCGGCGAUGCUGGAGGGCUCAGCUCCAUCCUGCCCACCCCCGGAUCCCCGCGCUCCGCCGGGAGGGACAGCGCAGUCAGCUCAUGGGGACCAAGGGCUGCCUGAGGUUUCAGCGGUGUGGGGCCGCGUGGGGCGCAAUGCUGGGGCCGGAGGGUUUCCCUCCCACUCUCGGGCUCCCACCUCUUCCCCUUUUAUUUCCUGUGGCCCCAGGUGGGCUCGGCAUCAUCAGCCCAGGGGGUUGCCAAGGCGCCCUGCGGCAGGGCAUGGGCUAGCGGCAAAGAGAGACCGAAAGCAUGCGGGAGAUCACACAGCAGGGGUUGCUCCCUGGGUGCGUGCCGAGGCACUGAGUCAAAGCCAGAGGCUUUCAGGGCCAGCAAGAAAAAUCCCCGCCAGCUGUGGCCCCGUGUCCCCCACGUCACCUGCAGCAGCAGGGUUUUCUCCAGCAGGCACCUGCCGGGCAGCUGCAGGGGCCGUGGGGCAGCAGCAUGGGGAAUGCCCCAGCGUGGGGCCGUGGGGUCUGCCCCGAUCUGGGGAGGGCAGGGGGGUGAGUCCCCCGUGAUUCCCCCUCGUCCUUCCCUGUCACACCGCGUGGGGAGGAGCGGGGGGGACAGCUUAAGCUAUCAAUGGUCCUGCCUUGAUGGGAAUAAAAUAUGCACUGAAAGACA
rnacentral:lncRNA from 1 species